GGAAUUCCAAGCUAGAUAGAGCAUUGCGUGACAUUGGGUUUACUCAGUGUAAGAGUGAACGCUGUCUUUAUAAGCAAGACAUAAAAGUUGGCAACUCAGUUUUAAACGCAUCAGAUGUUUAAAGCGUGCAUCAAUUUUAUUUGGUAUGCAGAACAGACAAUGGCAGAAGAAAAAAAGUGGACACACGAGCGGAAGAAAUUAUUAAUAACAACAAGGCUUCGCCAUGAAGCAGAAUUUUCCGGCAAAAAAAGAAAGAGAAAUACAAUUUGGGAGUCGAUUUUAAGGGAAAUGAGGGACGUUGAGAGCUCGUUUCCAUUUUCAAGAGAUGAAAUAACGAGGUGUUUUCUCAACAUAAUGGGGACUUAUAAGCGUAUAAAGAAAAGAAGCAGUACUUCUGGCGAAGCAGCAUCAAAUUGGGAAUAUUUUAGUGAAAUCGAUGAAGUGUUUGGGAGUCGUUCUAGUAUUGAAGUGCCACUAGAAAUGACCGAGUAUUCUAUAAUUUCAUUGGAAAGUCCUUCCACCACAGCAACAAUUGACGGAAUGGAUGUAACACCUACAACAUCAGUUAAAAGAAAGAGAAAUGACGUAAUCGAAUUCUUAGAGAAAGAAUCCGAAAAGGAAAACGAAGCCAUAAAUAAGCUUAUAAAAAUAGAAAGUGAAAGACUUGAAGUUGAAAAAGAAAAACUUAAAGAAUUAAAGCAACUACGGGCUUUAUUUGAAAA